rnacentral:rRNA from 1 species
CCUACGGGUGGCAGCAGUGGGGAAUCUUGCACAAUGGGGGCAACCCUGAUGCAGCGACGCCGCGUGAGCGAUGAAGCCCUUCGGGGUGUAAAGCUCUUUCGGCAGGGAAGAUUAUGACGGUACCUGCAGAAGCAGCUGCGGCUAACUACGUGCCAGCAGCCGCGGUAAUACGUAGGGGGCGAGCGUUGUCCGGAGUUACUGGGCGUAAAGGGCACGCAGGCGGUCGUGUAAGUUUGGGGUUACAGCUCCCGGCUCAACUGGGAGAGCGCCUUGAAGACUGCAGGACUUGAGGGCCAGAGAGGGACACAGAAUUCCGGGUGUAGUGGUGAAAUGCGUAGAUAUCCGGAGGAAUACCAAAGGCGAAGGCAGUGUCCUGGGUGGUUUCUGACGCUGAGGUGCGAAAGCUAGGGGAGCGAACGGGAUUAGAUACCCUAGUAGUC